UACAGAGACUGCGAGCGUUAUUCGGAUUCACUGGGCGUAAAGGGUGCGCAGGCGGCCGAGUGUGUGAGGCGUGAAAGCCCGGGGCUUAACCCCGGAAUUGCGCCUCAAACUACACGGCUAGAGCAUUGGAGAGGGUAGCAGAAUUCAUGGUGUAGCAGUGAAAUGCGUAGAUAUCAUGAGGAAUACCAGAGGCGAAGGCGGCUACCUGGACAAUUGCUGACGCUCAGGCACGAAAGCGUGGGGAGCAAAAGGG
rnacentral:rRNA from 1 species